rnacentral:rRNA from 1 species
GACAGAGGGUGCAAACGUUGUUCGGAAUUACUGGGCGUAAAGCGCAUGUAGGCGGCCUGCCAGGUCGGAUGUGAAAUCCCUCGGCUCAACCAAGGAAGUGCAUUCGAAACCGGCGGGCUCGAGUCCCGGAGAGGGUGAUGGAAUUCUAGGCGUAGAGGUGAAAUUCGUAGAUUUCUGGAGGAACACCGGUGGCGAAAGCGGUCACCUGGACGAGGACUGACGCUGAGAUGCGAAAGCGUGGGGAGCAAACAGG